UGAUAUGUUAAAUGAGACUUGUAUGGACAUGAAUGAGGUCUCUCUAACCAUCUCCCACCUUCAAAUCCAUGAUUGAAUGCACAGUUGACUUGUGUUGACUUUCCUAGGGUUUCAGUUGACCUAGCUAUGCUCUGAUGAAAUCCAAGCCUCUACCACUUGAGAUCUUGAUUCAAAAUGAUAUCAUAACUCACAUGAACUCUUGUAAAUGA
rnacentral:lncRNA from 1 species